AUGGGCUCCAGGCUCUUCUGCUGUGUGGCCCUUUGUCUCCUGGGAGCAGGCCCAGUGGAUUCAGAAGUCACCCAGACUCCAAGGCACCUGACAAAAGCCAGAGGACAGACAGUGACACUGGGGUGUUCCCCGAUCUCUGGGCACUUGGCUGUGUCUUGGUAUCAACAGGCCCAGGGCCAGGCCCUCCAGUUCCUCAUUGGGUACUACAACGGGGAGGAGAGAGCAAAAGGAAACAUCUCUGAUCGAUUCUCAGGGAAACAGUUUGAUGACUACAGCUCUAAGCUGACCAUGAGCUUGCUGGAGCAGAAGGACUCUGCCCUGUAUCUCUGUGCCAGCAGCUUAGCACAGCCCUGCAGAGUCACCUGUGUUCUGUGCAUAAACCACCCUGGCCCAGCAUGCAGCAGCCUCAGUGCUGACAGGGCCCUGGGAACCUAG